GAUGAACGCUGGCGGCGUGCCUAAUACAUGCAAGUCGAGCGAACGGACGAGGAGCUUGCUUCUCUGAUGUUAGCGGCGGACGGGUGAGUAACACGUGGAUAACCUACCUAUAAGACUGGGAUAACUUCGGGAAACCGGAGCUAAUACCGGAUAAUAUUUUGAACCGCAUGGUUCAAAAGUGAAAGACGGUCUUGCUGUCACUUAUAGAUGGAUCCGCGCUGCAUUAGCUAGUUGGUAAGGUAACGGCUUACCAAGGCAACGAUGCAUAGCCGACCUGAGAGGGUGAUCGGCCACACUGGAACUGAGACACGGUCCAGACUCCUACGGGAGGCAGCAGUAGGGAAUCUUCCGCAAUGGGCGAAAGCCUGACGGAGCAACGCCGCGUGAGUGAUGAAGGCCUUCGGAUCGUAAAACUCUGUUAUUAGGGAAGAACAUAUGUGUAAGUAACUGUGCACAUCUUGACGGUACCUAAUCAGAAAGCCACGGCUAACUACGUG
rnacentral:rRNA from 1 species